GGCUGUGAGACAUUAACAGGCAUUGCCACAGCUUAUUCCAGGAUUGGCUGUUGCUCUGUUAUUUAUCUGUCUUUGAUUUGGAAGCAAGUUCGGCUUGAUCUUGGAUGCCGUAUGAAGCUGAAGGCUUCAUGCACAAGGGAAAGCUUUGCCAUCAUAAGAAAUGGAGCACAACUUUGUUGCUCCACCAGCAUACCAGGAGAUGAAGAUCAGGAAAGUUCCUCAUGUGCUGUCCCUGAAGAGGCCUCAUAAAAGCCAGGAGCCUGUCUCACUGGCAGUGGCUGUGUCGUGCCCUACUGUCAUUUGUCUUGCAGUUGGAGUCUAGUUCUGCCAUCUUUCGUGAUACUGAGCGGUAAAAUCACAAACAGUAUGGCCUCACAGCUGUAGUAAAGGCACUGCAAAGGAGGGGUUUAAAUUACAGCUGUGGGAUUAAACCUGUUGCUGGAGAGAUACCUCAGGACCUGGAAGCUCAGUGGUGCCUAAACCAGCCCUGGCAGAAUGAUGGCACCGUCCACAAAACUACUAAAAUCCAUGCUCUGCUUUGAAAGCAGUUCCUGCUGCAGCAGGUCUGCAGAUGCUGCACAGUAGUAGAGAAAGCCUUAUUUCAAGUUAUGUAAAUGUUUGCUCUUGCACUCUCUUCAGACGCUAGACAUCACAACAGCAAAAGAUGAGGGAGACUUGUAUUUUCUUACCCCCGGCCAAGAAAGCUGAAAAAACCCAAUGGGUUUAACAUAAACAAUCCCAAUCUAUUUUAAGGAACAGUGUGUAUAAUCUCAUCGCGAGAUUAAUUCUCGUUAUUAUCUUCUCUGCAUCAGGCAAAGUCUCUGUUUGCUUCCAAGGUUUCAAAACCAUGGCUGGGAUGAAACUGAACGUACCGUCCUGACCUCCAGCCAUCUGUUGGCAGCCGAUAGAAAUAAGUAGGCAAUGUUGUUCGUGUCCGUUAGUUCCAGCAUACGUUGUUUAAAUCUGGCUUCGUGCCUGCCAAGAGCAAAGUUGUUAUAUUACAACACAUUAUACACUCAUACACAAAAGGAUGAAGCAUUAAACUCUUCUCUCCCUCCCCUCUCCCCAAACCAAAACUUUUUGCCCUUCUGCUUUUGCCAAACUUUGGGUUAAAAACUCUUCCCUAAGGACCCGUACCUGCUGCCAGGGCUCUCCUUAACCAGGCAGAGCUACAUGUACAAUGGGGAGGAAUUUGUUCAACAAGCAAUUAUAUUGGAUGAUUUUGGAUCAGAGCCUGUCCCCUCAAAGAGACUGCAAUGCCAGGGUGCUAGGGACAGGUUUUCCUUCCUGCUGCUGCCCUCCAGUCCUCUCACAGGCGAGUGCUGCUGUGGCCCCUCGUUUCUUCCUCACAAGCCACUAGUGAGAGCAGAGGGCUCACCUGUCAGCUCAAAAUCGGAUUUCGGAAGUUACCUGGCCAGCUGCAGGAGUCUUCAACGGGAGUGACACCUCUAAGGUUUCAACUAAUAGACUGUAGAUUGAUCAGUAGCUCAAUACUUUUCAGCUACUCAGCUCAGCUGUUUUCUCAGCCAGUCACACAUUGCCUAAGGAGCUUGGAAAACUACAGUGAGGGAGAGCUAUAGAUCAUUUCUGAAUUACCAAAAUGAGCGGUGUUACCUCCACUGGCACGUGUUUCUCUCUCCCCCGUGUAAUGCCCAUCACAUUUAAAAACCAGUGCAAGGAUGUCAGAGCGCCUAAGAGCCAAGGUACACUUUGGGAGGGGAGGGGGAAAGCUCUGUUGGUGUAAGUGUAUUAAAUUCGUGGUCCCUUGCAGUACUUUAGGUGUGACCUGCAGUCAGAUGGAAACCAUUUCAUUGUUUCAUAUUCUACUGUCUGUUAAAUACCCUAGUUGAAUAAACUAGCUGAACUUCA